AAAUAACAUACCGAAGCUGCGGAUUCCAUCGAGAUUCGUCUUGAUGGUAUGGUAGGAGAGCGUAAUCAAUGCCUUGAAGCCAGACGGAAACGAAUGGUGGAGCGUUGAUUAGUGAGAAUGCAGACACGAGUAGCGAUAAACCAGAUGAGAAUUCUGGUCGCCGUAAACCUAAGGUUUCCUGGGGCAGGUUCGUCCUCCCAGGGUUAGUCGGGAGCUAAGGCGAGGCCGUAAGGCGUAGUCGAUGCACAGCAGGUUAAUAUUCCUGCACCGGCUAGGGUUAAGGCACGAGAUGACGCAGAGAGAAAAGUGAUUACGUCAAUGAAAGACAGAGCCUAGGCUUCGGCCAAAGCGCAUCACCAGACAAUCUGCCUAGAAAAGUUUCGUGUUGUUCCCCUGGUCGCCCGUACCGUAAACCGACACAGGUGGGUGAGUCGAAUAGACUAAGGCGCGCGGGAGAAACCUCUCUAAGGAACUCGGCACAUUAGCCCCGUAACUUCGGGAAAAGGGGUGCCCGAAACCGUUGCAGCAAUGUAGCGGCGGCGGGCCACAGUAAAUUGCGUUUAGCGACUGUUUAACAAAAACACAGCACUCUGCCAAGUCGUGAAGACGACGUAUAGGGUGUGACACGUGACCAAUGCGGAAAGAUUAAGAGGUUUUGUUAGCCGCAAGGCGAAGCUCGGCCUUUAAGUCCCCGUGAAUGUCGGCCGUAACUAUAACGGUCCUAAGGUAGCGAAAUUCCUUGUCGGGUAAGUUCCGACCUGCACGAAUCGUGUAACGACUGAACGACUGUCUCGGAGAGGAUCUCGGCGAAACUGUAACGGCGGUGAAGAUGCCGCCUGCCCGCAGUAGGACGGAAAGACCCUAUGCACCUUUACUGUAAGCUGGUACUGUGUUCUGGUUAAUGAUGCGUAGCGUAGGUGGGAGACUUUGAAGCCCUGAUUUAGGUCAGGGUGGAGUCGCAAUGUGAAACACCACUCUUCGUUAAUUAAGAUUCUAACCCCAAGCUGUUAGCCAGCUGGGGGACAAUGCCUGCGGGUCAGUUUGACUGGGGCGGUUUCCUCCCAAAGGGUAACGGAGGAGCGCGAAGCUUGGCUCAGCACGGUUGGCAAUUGUGCGUCGAGCGUAUGGGUAGAAGCCAGGUUAACUGUGAGACCAACAAGUCGAGCAGGUGCGAAAGCAGGCCCAAAUGAUCCGAUGGUUUAAUGUGGAAUUGCCAUCGCUCAACGGACAAAAGGUACGCUAGGGAUAACAGGCUGAUCGAUUCCAAGAGUUCAUAUCGACGAAUCGGUUUGGCACCUCGAUGUCGGCUCAUCGCAUCCUGGGGCUGGAGAAGGUCCCAAGGGUCCGGCUGUUCGCCGGUUAAAGCGGUACGCGAGCUGGGUUCAGAACGUCGUGAGACAGUUCGGUCCUUAUCCACUGUGGGCGUAGGAAACUUGAGGGGUUCAUUCUCUAGUACGAGAGGACCGAGAAUGACGCACUUCUGGUGUGGCAGUUGUUCCGUCAGGAGCAGCGCUGCGUAGCCAUGUGCGGAAGAGAUAAGCGCUGAAAGCAUCUAAGUGCCAAGCUCCUCCCAAGAUAUGGUUUCCCGGACGCAAGUCCCUAAAGACCCCAAGUAGACUACUUGGUUGAUAGGCUGGACGUGUACGAGCCGUAAGGCUUUCAGCCGACCAGUACUAAUCGGUCGUGCGGCUUGAUCGC
rnacentral:rRNA from 1 species